UAGCUUUGUCCAUGGCAUAAGGCUUUUACCCUCUUUUCAUCAAUCAUAUUAAGUUGUUCAAAUCUUUGUUGAACCCAUUCAGCUUCAGAGAGUUUGAUUUGAGAAAGUAUCCUUAGUGAAGGAAUUUCCACUUCCACGGGUAAUACAGCUUCCAUCCCAUAAACCAAUGAGAACGGUGUUGCCCCAGUCGAAGUACGAAUUGAAGUUCGAUAAGCAAACAAAGCAUAUGGCAACCGAUCAUGCCAAUCACGAUAAUUUUCCGCCGUUUUGGCUAAAAUCUUCUUGAUAUUCUUAUUUGCCGCUUCCACAGCUCCAUUCAUUUGUGGGUGGUAAGGAGAAGAAUUCAAAUGGCAAAUGUGGAAUUCUCCA
rnacentral:lncRNA from 1 species